rnacentral:misc_RNA from 1 species
GUUGGUGAACCAGCGGAGGGAUCAUUACAGAGUUGCAAAACUCCCACAAACCAUCGCGAAUCUUACCCGUACGGUUGCCUCGGCGCUGGCGGUCUGGAGGCCCUCGGGCCCCCGGACCCUCGGGCCCCUCUCGGGGGGCUGCCCGCCGGAGUGCCGAAACCAAACUCUUGAUAUCUAAUGUCUCUCUGAGUAAACUUUUAAAUAAGUCAAAACUUUCAACAACGGAUCUCUUGGUUCUG